UACGAAGGGGGCUAGCGUUGCUCGGAAUUACUGGGCGUAAAGCGCACGUAGGCGGUCUUUUAAGUCGGGGGUGAAAUCCUGGAGCUCAACUCCAGAACUGCCUUCGAUACUGGAAGACUUGAGUCCGGGAGAGGUGAGUGGAACUGCGAGUGUAGAGGUGAAAUUCGUAGAUAUUCGCAAGAACACCGGUGGCGAAGGCGGCCUGCUGGGCAGUUGCUGACACUGAGGCGCGACAGCGUGGGGAGCAAACAGG
rnacentral:rRNA from 1 species